CAGACCUGAAAUCAGGCGAGGUUACCCGCUGAACUUAAGCAUAUUAUUAAGCGGAGGAGAAGAAAAUAACUAUGAUUCCCUUAGUAACGGCGAGUGAACCGGGAUCAGCUCAAAGUGGAAAUCAACUGCUCUUUCCGAGCUGUUGACUUGUAGCCUCGAGAGGCGUUACCAGUGGAAGCGCAAGGGUUAGUUUCUUGGGAAAGACAUCAUAGAGGGUGAGAAUCCCGUCCUUUCCCCUGCGUUUUUUUGUCCACGUACGGUACGCUUUUAUAGAGUCGCGUUCAUCGGGAUUUGAGCGCAAAAUGGUGUGGUAGGUUUCACAUUAAGCUAAGUACUGGCGCGAGAACGAUAGCAAACAAGUACCGUGAGGGAAAGAUGAAAAGUUCUUUGGAAAGAGAUUAAAAGUGCCUGAAAUUGCUGAAAAGGAAGCGAUUGGGACCUUUUUGAUUCCAAGAAGUGCCGCCGGUUUGCCAUCUAUCCCUUUGCCUUCUCUCUCUCACCAGGUUUAGGCUUUGGUUUCUUGAUGUAUUUCCGGUUCAUCUUUUUGGAGAGGUCAGCAUCAGCUACUCGGAAUUGAUUUCGUUCAAAGAAGGUAGGUUCCUUGUGGACCGGUAUAUCUUUGUUCUUUCCUUUUCCUUGUGGCUGAGGAGUGUUCCUGUUUCCGAGCUCCACUUUCGAGUACUCGGUUUCUGUGAUGCUGGCUUAAUCGGUUCCAACCGACCCGUCUUGAAACACGGACCAAGGAGUCUAACAUAUGUGCGAGUAUGCGGGUUUUACUCCUGUAUGCGCAAUGAAAGUGAGAGUAAGGAGAUUUUGGCUUUGCCAUUCUUCGCACCUACGACCGAACACGAUCUCUGAGAGAGGUUGAGUUGGAGCAUAUCU